AUCUUUUGUUGUAGUAGUUUUUCUUUUCUUUCUUUUUUUGUCUUGGGGUGUGGUGUGGAUGGUUCUUGCGGAUAACAGGUAGUGGUGUGUAUGCGGUAUGCGGUAAAAAACGAAUAGGAAUCAGAGGGAAAGAAUGCAAAUUUGGUAUUUGUUUUUUG
rnacentral:ribozyme from 14 species